GACGAACGCUGGCGGCGUGCUUAACACAUGCAAGUCGAACGGAAAGGCCCUGCUUUUGUGGGUUGCUCGAGUGGCGAACGGGUGAGUAACACGUGAGUAACCUGCUCUUGACUUUGGGAUAACUUCAGGAAACUUGGGCUAAUACCGGAUAGGAGCUCCUGCUGCAUGGUGGGGGUUUGAAAGUUUCGGCGGUUGGGGAUGGACUCGCGGCUUAUCAGCUUGUUGGUGGGUUAGUGGCUUACCAAGUCUUUGACGGGUAGCCGGCCUGAGAGGGUGACCGGCCACAGUGGGACUGAGAGACGGCCCAGACUCAUACGGGAGGCAGCAGUGGGGAAUAUUGCACAAUGGGAGGAAGCCUGAUGCAGCAACGACGCGUGCGGGAUGACGGCCUUCGGGUUGUAAACCGCUUUCGCCUGUGACGAAGCGUGAGUGACGGUAAUGGGUAAAGAAGCACCGGCUAACUACGUG
rnacentral:rRNA from 1 species